GCAUCGAUGAUUCAGUGGUAAAAUGCACGCGGGCGGCCCGGGUUCGAUUCCCAGCCGAUACA
rnacentral:tRNA from 1 species